AGAGUUUGAUCCUGGCUCAGGAUGAACGCUAGCGACAGGCUUAACACAUGCAAGUCGAGGGGCAGCACAGGUAGCAAUACCGGGUGGCGACCGGCGCACGGGUGAGUAACGCGUAUGCAACUUACCUAUCAGAGGGGGAUAACCCGGCGAAAGUCGGACUAAUACCGCAUGAAGCAGGGGCCCCGCAUGGGGAUAUUUGCUAAAGAUUCAUCGCUGAUAGAUAGGCAUGCGUUCCAUUAGGCAGUUGGCGGGGUAACGGCCCACCAAACCGACGAUGGAUAGGGGUUCUGAGAGGAAGGUCCCCCACAUUGGUACUGAGACACGGACCAAACUCCUACGGGAGGCAGCAGUGAGGAAUAUUGGUCAAUGGACGCAAGUCUGAACCAGCCAUGCCGCGUGCAGGAUGACGGCUCUAUGAGUUGUAAACUGCUUUUGUACGAGGGUAAACGCAGAUACGUGUAUCUGUCUGAAAGUAUCGUACGAAUAAGGAUCGGCUAACUCCGUGCCAGCAGCCGCGGUAAUACGGAGGAUCCAAGCGUUAUCCGGAUUUAUUGGGUUUAAAGGGUGCGUAGGCGGUUUGAUAAGUUAGAGGUGAAAUCCCGGGGCUUAACUCCGGAACUGCCUCUAAUACUGUUAAACUAGAGAGUAGUUGCGGUAGGCGGAAUGUAUGGUGUAGCGGUGAAAUGCUUAGAGAUCAUACAGAACACCGAUUGCGAAGGCAGCUUACCAAACUAUAUCUGACGUUGAGGCACGAAAGCGUGGGGAGCAAACAGGAUUAGAUACCCUGGUAGUCCACGCAGUAAACGAUGAUAACUCGUUGUCGGCGAUACACAGUCGGUGACUAAGCGAAAGCGAUAAGUUAUCCACCUGGGGAGUACGUUCGCAAGAAUGAAACUCAAAGGAAUUGACGGGGGCCCGCACAAGCGGAGGAACAUGUG
rnacentral:rRNA from 1 species